ensembl:snRNA U6 U6 spliceosomal RNA
GUUGUUUCAGCAGCACAUAUACUAAAAUUAGAAAGCUACAGAAAAGAUUAACAUGGCUCCUUCACAAGGAUGAAAUGCAGAUUCAUAAAGAAAGAUGAGGUAAUU